CUGAGUUGGGCUGGGGAGAGUCAGAAAGAAAGGGAAGGAGAAACCCAGGAAGAUAAGAGAAGCUGCUCUUGUCCUUUGACAAAUCUGUGCUGUGCUCCUCUGGCUGGUCUGCCCCACUCACAUUCUGCUCAUUUUCUCUCUAAAACAAGGCUGACCAGUGCCUCCACUUGUGUUGAAUGUCUCCAUCCAGGGCCUGCGGACAGCCUUGCAAAUGUGUCAUUGGCAGCAAGGAGGUCUAGGUGUGGCUGUGGAUGGUGAGAUGCAAGUUCAUCUUUGCCUCUGGAAAAACAAGUCAAAAGAUGAAAGGCUUUGAGGUGCAUGCAGCCUCGAUGACAAUGGUGUGUGAACGGCUAAGGGAGAAAAAACACAGAAGUCCAAAUUCGAGGCUCUUUAUGAACAUGGAGCCUGGAUCUCUUGCCACUCCACCCUCCCACCCCAAUCUCACCCAGGGCUCCCCUCCAAGGCCCUGAUGCACAGAAGACGGAACUCCCUCUCAUUAUGGCUUUGAUUAAUGCCAGACUGUUCACUGCUUUCAUUCAACCACAGAGGGAUCUCCCUUAGACUUCAAAUCGAGCCUGGAGCUUUGAUCUGCCCCAAGGGACUACACCCAGAUGCAAGACUCUGUCCAUGUCUGAAGCAAGUCUCCUGGGUCGUGACAGCCUUUCCUGCCAUCUCAUCCAAUAAA